UACGUAGGGUGCAAGCGUUGUUCGGAUUUACUGGGCGUAAAGGGCGCGUAGGCGGUCAGCACAAGUCAGUUGUGAAAUCUCCGGGCUUAACCCGGAAAGGUCAACUGAUACUGUGCGACUAGAGUGCGGAAGGGGCAACUGGAAUUCUCGGUGUAGCGGUGAAAUGCGUAGAUAUCGAGAGGAACACCUGCGGCGAAGGCGGGUUGCUGGGCCGACACUGACGCUGAUGCGCGAAAGCCAGGGGAGCGAACGGG
rnacentral:rRNA from 1 species